UAAAAACUACCAUAGAAGCAACUUGAAGUGUAAAUGAUGGAAGAAAUGAAUCUAAAUUUUUACUUUUCCUUUAUUAUUUUUUUAGGUUGGGGCUACAAUCACAGGCCAAUCUGUGCCUGGCCAAAACAUUGUUCUUGUAAGACCAAGAACUUUAGGUCAAACAAAUCCUAAAGAACACAAUGGUCCAGUUCCAAUGGAAGGUGAUGAGGAGAUUUUUGAAGAAGAGGCAGUUUGCAAAAAUUGUUUUCACAAUUUGAAA